GUAUGAAUGGUAAACGUUGCCAUCUGUUACCUGAUACUAAAAUUAAUAAUGAAAAAAAUACUUCUUUCAAAAAUAAUGGUGGUAACAACAAUAAUUACUCAAGUUGUUUCAGCUACUAUAACGACUGUUCCCGCACUCCUCUUGGUUCAACUGAAAUUCAGCAGCUUUUAUCAGUUAAUGACUCUCUAAUAAAAGCUUGCAAACUGUACCAGGACAUCUGGACGUCGAAAGAUUUAAAUUUAUGUUACUUGAGAUGUCUACACCGCAAUAUUGUAAAAUUGGGAAUGAACCAUGACUUCUUUGCUCUUAAUCUAUUAAUAAAUUCCAAGGAGAGCACUAAUUUAAGCUUAGAUAACUCUUCUAUAAGUUUCUUGGGACCAGAAAAACCGGGUUAAAUAGAAUAAAAUAGUUAAAGCCUUAACAACGUUAGAUAAUCUAAUAAGUAAAAUAUUACCUGGCUGAUUUUUUCA